ACGCUUCUUUUUCCACCGGAGCUUGCUCCACCGGAAAAAGAGGAGUGGCGAACGGGUGAGUAACACGUGGGUAACCUGCCCAUCAGAAGGGGAUAACACUUGGAAACAGGUGCUAAUACCGUAUAACAAUCGAAACCGCAUGGUUUUGAUUUGAAAGGCGCUUUCGGGUGUCGCUGAUGGAUGGACCCGCGGUGCAUUAGCUAGUUGGUGAGGUAACGGCUCACCAAGGCCACGAUGCAUAGCCGACCUGAGAGGGUGAUCGGCCACAUUGGGACUGAGACACGGCCCAAACUCCUACGGGAGGCAGCAGUAGGGAAUCUUCGGCAAUGGACGAAAGUCUGACCGAGCAACGCCGCGUGAGUGAAGAAGGUUUUCGGAUCGUAAAACUCUGUUGUUAGAGAAGAACAAGGAUGAGAGUAACUGUUCAUCCCUUGACGGUAUCUAACCAGAAAGCCACGGCUAACUACGUGCCAGCAGCCGCGGUAAUACGUAGGUGGCAAGCGUUGUCCGGAUUUAUUGGGCGUAAAGCGAGCGCAGGCGGUUUCUUAAGUCUGAUGUGAAAGCCCCCGGCUCAACCGGGGAGGGUCAUUGGAAACUGGGAGACUUGAGUGCAGAAGAGGAGAGUGGAAUUCCAUGUGUAGCGGUGAAAUGCGUAGAUAUAUGGAGGAACACCAGUGGCGAAGGCGGCUCUCUGGUCUGUAACUGACGCUGAGGCUCGAAAGCGUGGGGAGCAAACAGGAUUAGAUACCCUGGUAGUCCACGCCGUAAACGAUGAGUGCUAAGUGUUGGAGGGUUUCCGCCCUUCAGUGCUGCAGCUAACGCAUUAAGCACUCCGCCUGGGGAGUACGACCGCAAGGUUGAAACUCAAAGGAAUUGACGGGGGCCCGCACAAGCGGUGGAGCAUGUGGUUUAAUUCGAAGCAACGCGAAGAACCUUACCAGGUCUUGACAUCCUUUGACCACUCUAGAGAUAGAGCUUCCCCUUCGGGGGCAAAGUGACAGUGGGUGCAUGGUUGUCGUCAGCUCGUGUCGUGAGAUGUUGGGUUAAGUCCCG
rnacentral:rRNA from 1 species